rnacentral:snoRNA from 1 species
CAAUGUGAUGAGACUAGGAAGUGCCGUCAGAUGCGAGAACUGACGAGGACCUUCGCUUUGCCUGAUU